rnacentral:rRNA from 1 species
AUUGAACGCUGGCGGCAGGCCUAACACAUGCAAGUCGAGCGAGCGGCGGACGGGUGAGUAAUGCCUGGGAAUUGCCAAGUAGAGGGGGAUAAAAGUUGGAAACGACUGCUAAUACCGCAUACGAUGGGAUUGCCCAGGUGGGAUUAGCUGGUUGGUGGGUUAAUGGCUCACCAGGGAGACGAUCCCUCGCUGGUCUGAGUGGAUGAGCAGCCACACUGGCACUGAGACACGGUCCAGACUCCUACUGGAGGCAGCAGUGGGGAAUAUUGCACAAUGGGGGAAACCCUGAUGCCGCCAUGCCGCGUGUGUGAAGAAGGCCUUCGGGUUGUAAAGCACUUUCAGCGAGGAGGCGUUACUCGCAGAAGAAGCACCGGCUAACUCCGUGCCAGCAGCCGCGGUAAUAC